rnacentral:piRNA from 1 species
UGGGACAGAACUAAAUAAAGCCCAAGUCUCG